rnacentral:rRNA from 1 species
UACGAAGGGGGCUAGCGUUGCUCGGAAUCACUGGGCGUAAAGGGUGCGUAGGCGGGUCUUUAAGUCAGGGGUGAAAUCCUGGAGCUCAACUCCAGAACUGCCUUUGAUACUGAAGAUCUUGAGUUCGGGAGAGGUGAGUGGAACUGCGAGUGUAGAGGUGAAAUUCGUAGAUAUUCGCAAGAACACCAGUGGCGAAGGCGGCUCACUGGACUGGUAUUGACGCUGAGGCGCGAAAGCGUGGGGAGCAAACAGG